GAUGAAGAACGCAGCGAAAUGCGAUAAGUAAUGUGAAUUGCAGAAUUCAGUGAAUCAUCGAAUCUUUGAACGCACAUUGCGCCCUCUGGUAUUCCGGGGGGCAUGCCUGUCCGAGCGUCAUUGCUGCCCUCAAGCACGGCUUGUGUGUUGGGCCCCGUCCUCCGAUCCCGGGGGACGGGCCCGAAAGGCAGCGGCGGCACCGCGUCCGGUCCUCGAGCGUAUGGGGCUUUGUCACCCGCUCUGUAGGCCCGGCCGGCGCUUGCCGAUCAACCCAAAUUUUUAUCCAGGUUGACCUCGGAUCAGGUAGGGAUACCCGCUGAACUUAAGCAUAUCAAUAAGCGGAGGA
rnacentral:misc_RNA from 1 species